ACAUUUCUUUAAGUUAAAAUUUAAAGUAGGUUCUGCCCUAUGAUAUUAUUAAAUGGCUGCAGUAUUUUGACUGUGCAAAGGUAGCAUAAUAAUUAGUUUCUUAAUUAGGAGCUUGAAUGAAUGAAUUAAUGAGAAAUUUAUUUUAUUUUAAUUAUUUUUAUAAUUUAAUUUUUAAGUUAAAAAGCUUAAUUAUUUUUUUGGGACGAUAAGACCCUAUAGAACUUUUAAUAUAUUUAAUUAUUUAUUUUUUAGAUUUUAUUUAAUAAAUAAUUAUGCUUAUUUUUUAUUGGGGUGGUAAAUAAAUUAUUAACUUUAUUUUUAUAUUUCAUUAAUUUAUGAAUUUUUUGAUCCAUUAAGUAUGAUUAUAAGAUUAAGUUACCUUAGGGAUAACAGCGUAAUUUUAAUGGAAAGUUCAUAUUUAUAUUAAAGUUUGCGACCUCGAUGUUGAAUUAAGAUAAAAUUAGGGGGCAGGUUCUUUAAAUUUAGGUCUGUUCGACCUUUAAAUUCUUACAUGAUCUG
rnacentral:rRNA from 1 species